GCCCUGCAUCGGAGCCCGCUUCGACGAGAAGGCACUGCUGUGGUGGUUCCUCCAUCACCCCUGGCUCUACCCCGUCCCGUGGCUGCCUAGGGAAAUGUCAAGGGUGCCAGGCACAGGGGAUCUGCCUCUCAGCCACAGUGUCACUAGUUAAUCUCUUAUUUAAAAAAGUCAUUUCCUCCCCGCUCCCAGUUACUCAUUAAAUAGAAAGAUGAUUAAAAAAAAACAAAAACAAAAAAGGCCGGCCAUCUGUACAAGGUUAAAUGUGCUGCUUACUGGUAUUUUAAAAUUGCACAGUCAGUACCUGUUUUGAAUCCUUCUUAUAAAAUAAAGGGAAAGCAAUACUGAGGACAAGAGGGUCAGUUCCAAGUACUAAUGGACCUUUAUCCACCUUUCCAUAGUGACAUAUUAACAGAGAAAGGAGUUCAGUGGCAUUCCUCAUUCUCAGAAGUCAUUAACCAUGGUGGCGGCUUAAAGACAAGUAUCAGUCUAGUAAGACUUAGAGGUCUCAUUUAACUCGCGGUACUUGGAAAAUUCAUCAUCCACUGAUGGGC
rnacentral:lncRNA from 1 species